ensembl:rRNA 5S_rRNA 5S ribosomal RNA
GCCUAUAGCCAAUACCACCCUGAAUGUCCCCAAUCUCAUCUGAUCUUAGAAGCUAAGCAGGCUUUGGCCUGGUUAAUACUUGGAUGGGAGAUUUGAAUCUGAGGCAGAAGUAGGCA